rnacentral:lncRNA from 1 species
UUUUGCACUUUAUUAUCUCUUGAACUCAUUUCCUAGCCAAAGUCCAAUGGUGGCAUUUCUCCAUGCUGGUUACCAGCCCAGAACAGAGCAUAGUCUUGACACCAUCUAAGGCCCGAAUACAAUAUUUCCAUCAGACUCUAGAGCCAAUUUGGUUUCUUGCCAUUGAUGAAACCCCUUCAGGGAGGGCAUUUCCAAAAAGGCUUCCAGGAGCCUGUGGCAAUGUCUCACAUUCCUGGAGGGGUGGCCAAGCCUUAUUUUAAACGGGAUCCUCACCAGAGCCUUUGGGUAGUGGGAGGAACCGUCAGUGCGUAGGGAGGGUGGGCAUACUGAUUUUCUCCAGAGCAACAUGGAUGAGUGGAACCAACAUUCCCAUCUUUAGCAAAUCACAGAGUGAGGGCAAGUUCACAUGCUGAUUUGAAUGGAGAAGGAGUUGGGGGAACAGGACAAGAAGACUGAGGCCACACGAGGACCAGCCCUCACCAUUAAAACACGUCAGCCGUCAAGGAAGAGAAUAAGUCAUAGCUUCACACACCAUUAUGGAUGACUGUCGCAGACAAAGUGCAGUGGGAAAGGCGAGACGCAUAAGAGUAACUGGUGUGUGAUUCCAUUCGUAUAAAGUUCAAAACCAGGCAGCACAAACCCAUGGAGGUAGGAGUCAGAAUGGUGCUACGUCUUCCAGUCAAGUGGCAGGAUGUGGUUGACUGGGCACAGGGAGAGAGCAUAACGGGGCCCCUAGGGGACUGGAAAUGCCUUUAUUGUGACCCGGUUGCUGGUCACACUGAUGUGUGCAGAUAGUAACAUUCUCUUAAGGUUUAUGCACUUUAUUAUGUAUAAAUUACACCAAAAAUUAAAAAAAGAAAAAACCAAAACCCAAAGUUAUCAUCCUCACCAAAAAGCAUCACUGCCUGACCAUUUGCUGGGAGCACGGGGCAAAGUGACCGGCACACCCUGGAAGCUGAACUCUAUUAGAAGGCCAGUUGGGCUGAUCCCAUAUGCAUGAGGGCUGGGCUCAAGUUUGGGUGAAUGGGAGGUGGGGAGGGGGAGAGUUAUCAAGAGAUCUCAUUCUAGUCCUUUAUUUUUAAAUCAAUUAUAAUUUUUUUUCUCACAGUCAUCACUUUUUAAAUGACAAUAAUCUCCGCAUCAGCCAGCAUGUGGCUGCCUUCCAGUUCCAGGGUUUUCUACCUUGAUGGCAGUCAAGUUCCCCAGAGGGGCCUCACUUUCAGGAAGCACCUUGACCCUCAUUAGCAGCAGGAGGGGGCGAGAAAGCUCUGCUCAGAACCUGAGAUCCUCCCAGACUCCAGUGACGUAGCUUCUGGUUUAAUGUGGAUCUCUGAGAAAACUGGCUCCAGGAAUUUUCAGUUGGCUGCAUUCUGCUUUCCGGGAAUUGGAAAGCAUUGCAGGUGCCGUGGAAUGCUCUCGGGCCGCCCGGGCCUGAGGGCCAAGCAGGCCAAGUUAGAUAUAAAAUGUAAACAACGCACUCUAAGUUGCCGGAACAAGGCCAAGCAGCGCCCCACCAGCCAGGGAGGAGAGCUGCUUGUGACAUGACCACCUGCCGGCCCCAGAGUCCCCUUGCCACCCCUGAAGGGCUACGAAUCCCAGAAGCACAGAUCAGAAUGGGCUUUUCUUGGGCUUCCCUGCCUUCCCAGCGACCGUGCUGCGUGGACUUUCAGGAGGAAAGAAGAGCUCCAGGGCCUCCCCGACGCCAGGAGCGGGGCGGUCUUUCCCACCAGUGGGAGCAGAUUGGAACCUUCCCAGGUCCAGUAGCAGCUGCUGAGAACAGAGGGAGCAGCUGGCCUGGCAGGGGGCCACACUUAGCUUUGGCUUUCUCAGCGUUUACAUCCACCGCCCACGCAGGGGAUGCAGGUUUAAAUUGGAUGUGAAUAGGGAGUAUUUAAUUUGGACUCGUGAAUACGGAGUAUAUUUAAGUGGCCUUAACCACUUUGACUUUGCUUGCAGUCAGCUGUCACUGGGCAUCAGUCUGAAGCCUCCAUGGAUUGCUCUGCCACCUGAUCACUUUUCUUGAUACUGAAAGUGGCCUGGCAGGGAUUCCAUCUGUCAAUGUUUCUUUUUCUCUUUCUUCUGCCACCCAUUUCUUCUGACCUUCAGUCAACUCCAGAUAUUCAUGGGGAUAUUAAUUUCUUGGGCUUUGCUGCCUUUCCCAGUGGCUGCAAGGCCCAUUCUCAUCUAGAAAAGCAAAGUGAAAGGUUAAAGUGGGGUGUGAGGAAAGUUGGGGGCUUCUCAGUAGAACACCUAACCUUCCAGGGACUGCUGCUUCCCCUUUUCUGGGCUACUUUGAGUGCGUGAUAUUAACAUCACCAUGAAUAUUUGGAUUUAGCUGAGGGUGAGACACAUCUCUGGGUGUGUGUAUCUCUGUGUGUGUGUGUGUGUGUGUGUGUGUGUGUGUGUGUGAGAGAGAUGGGGUCUUGCCAUGCUGCCCUGGUUGGAGUGCAGUGGCCAUUCACAGACACCAUUAUAGCACACUGCAGCCUCAAACUCCUGUUGUCAAGCCAUCCUCCCGCCUCAGCCUCCCGAAUAGCUGGCACUAUAGGAGCAUGCCGCCUUGCCCAGCCAUCAUGGCAAUAUUUUUAAAAAGAGGCACCCUUCCUUGUGGACACUGGCUCAUUUUUCAUUUAACACAGAAUGAGGAGGGCCUUUAUGGAACUUUUCAUGAAGUGAGGAAGUCUUGAACCAUGACACAACUUGAUAGGUGCACAUCACCUGGUUUCACAUUUCCUGGUCUGAGGCUCAGAGGUUGGGCUGGGCCAGAAGAGCCGGGCAACACACGUGGAAUGGGGAAGUCACUCUGCUUAUUACAUGGAAAGGUGAGGGAGCUUCCAGAGAUGGAGAGACGGAGGCUCAGGUGAACCCUCCCCAGCCUCCAGCAGCACCCUUUGGGGUGCAGUCAUGCUGCAGAGGGGCUGGCAGUGGUGCUGCUUGUCCUCAUCCACUUGCUGAGUGCCUCCCCAUCUGGCACUUCCUGCUCGCAGACAGGGUCCUUGGGGAAUGAGUGACUCAGCUCAGCCCAGCAACACCAGUGCCUGCACCCUUCUCCCGUCAGUCCUGCCCGCAUUGAACACUCUCCUCAACCCUGCAUUCCACCUGUCCCCAGACACACGUCAUCUCUGCCAGCCACAUUUACCACCCACUUGCUGGGAGCUGUGAUAUUUUUAAGAGUCAUUGGCCUGCAUUUUAGUAGCAUGUUAUCUCUUUCUCUCCCUGCAUUUGUAUCUAUUUUCAUUAAGUGAAAGUCGAUACUAUACAAACAUUCCCUUUUCAUAUUCAUGGCUUGCCUAACUCAGAGAGAAAAAGAACCUUGCAGACCCCAUCGUGUCCAGCCUGUCCCAGAUCCCGAUGUGCAUAUAACAGAAAUGUGUGCAUUGCAAUUUGCCAAUUCCACAUGUAUGGCCUGGCUUUUCCUGCCCAGACCAAUCUAAGCCAUCAGACCAGGGAAGGCGAAACCAGCUGAUUCCCAAUGUGACGUGUGCAUACCAAGCUGUGUUACGGUUCAAGAUUUCCCCGCCCCAUGAGAAGUUCCAGAAGGCCAUUCACACUUUGUAUUAAACGAAAACUGAGCACAUACUAAAAGUACAUGCAUGUGUAUUUUACUCAUUGUAAACAAAAUACGCAUCCAUUAAUAGUAGAGUGGGCAGUCCAGGCACAUUAGCUUAUGCCUGUAAUCCCAGCACUUUGGGAGGCUUAGGCAGUAAGAUUACUUGAGCCCAGGGGUUUGAGACCUCACCUCCCUGAGCAACAUAACAAGACCUUGUCUCUACAAAAAAUGAAAAAAAAAAUUAGCCGAGUGUGGUGGGGUGCACCUGUAGACUCAGUUACUCUGGGGGCUGAGGUGGGCUUGAGCACAGGAGUUAGAAAGAGUGGCAGUGAGCUGUGAUUAUGCCACUGCACUCCAGCCUGGGCAACAGAGUGAGACCCUCUCUCUCUCUCAAAAAAAAAAAAAAAAAAGUAAAAUGGGCAUAUAAAAUGUGCUGCAGUCACACAAUGGAAUACCACUCAGCAAUGAGAGUGAAUGAAUGAGCUACAAUCAUGAGCAGCCACACGGAUGAGCCCCUCCUGCAUCACACUGAAUGAGAGCAACAGACACAACAGAGAACUUCGGUACGACUCUCUUUACAUGAAAUCCCCAAACAGGCAACACUUAACUGUGGUUUUUGGAGUCAGGAUGGUGUUACCUGGGUUGGGUAGAAAGGGACUUCUGGGGUAUUGGCCCUGCUCUGUUUUUAAAUCUAUAGGUACAGGUUACAUGGGCAGGUUCACUUGGUGGGAAUUUAUCAAACCAUACACUUGUGAUCUUUGUACUUUUCUGUAUGUAUAUUUCAAUAAAAGGUUUUCUGGAAAAAACCUGCCCCCACCCCCUCCAGCCACUAAGUUCACUCUGGAUUUGAUGCCGUUUAGAAACCUAUUUCAACCAAUUACCUGUUGUCUGAAUGAGCUAUUCUUCAACUGUUCCCAAGGACUGCUCUCUGGCACACGCACAGCCUCCGAGCACUUCCAGGCCUGUGUCUGUAUGGUUG